ensembl:lncRNA
UGAGAAUUUGAGCCUCACCGGAUUACAAAGAAAGUUCAUGCAAGGCCCAGUUGACCCAGUGGGCCCCGGAACGUGACCCAAGGUGAGUGGCGUGAUGCAUCCUCAGGAACACCUGCUUUCCUAGUUCCUCCGGGAGGAUCAGGGAGCUGUCUGCUGCCUUCCACCACCCGGCCAGUUGUUGGGUCAUAGGCAAACCUUUUAUCCAGUCUAAGUCUCUUGGUUUAAACCUGGGAGAUACAUCCUUAACUGCCUCCUUCAGACCGGGAGCCAAUAUGAUGAUGGCAGGAGCUAUCAAGAGGAAUCAACACAGAAAGAAUCUGAUUUUUACUCGUGAGAGGAUUCUACUUCUCUGGAACCUGAGGAAAAGCUAGAGACUUCUAGAAACUUGUUCCCCACCCUCUCC